rnacentral:rRNA from 1 species
AUAAAAUGUACUUAAAACCGUUAGAAUAGUUAUAGUUAUGUUCUUAAAACUUAAAAAAUUUGGUAGUAUUUUUUCUAGUCAGAGGAACUUGUUUUAUAAUUGAUAAUCCCCAUUAAAUCUUACUUAAUUUAUUAAAAUUUGUAUACCGUCGUCAUCAGAAUAUCUAAAAAAAGAAAAAAUUUUCUAAAAUAUUUAUUAUUAUAAAUGUCAGAUCAAGGUGCAGUUUAUAAUUAAGAAAAAAUUAGUUACAAUAAAAUUAUUUAUGUUGAAUGUAUAAAUGAAAUUUUAUAUUGAAAUUGGAUUUGAUAGUAAAUUUAAUUAUAAAGUUAAAUUGAUUUAGACCAAAAAUAUGC